rnacentral:rRNA from 1 species
CUUUCCUUAUCUUAGUGGCGGACGGGUGAGUAACGCGUGGAUAACCUGGCCCAUACAGGGGGAUAGCAGCUGGAAACGGCUGGUAAUACCGCAUAAGCGCACAGUACGGCAUCGUACGGUGUGAAAAACUCCGGUGGUAUGGGAUGGGUCCGCGUCUGAUUAGGCAGUUGGCGGGGUAAAGGCCCACCAAACCGACGAUCAGUAGCCGGCCUGAGAGGGUGGGCGGCCACAUUGGGACUGAGACACGGCCCAAACUCCUACGGGAGGCAGCAG